AUGGCAGUUUAGGAGAUCACUGGAUAAUGACAGUGGCUGCCUGCUCCCAGCAAGGUGCCGGCAUUGCCAGCUGCAAAGCUGUUGGGGAGGAGCCAUUAAGCUGUUUAUGUUACAAGAGGACAAAAAAUGGGGAAGGGUUAGGGUUGAAAAGGGGGCUAAGGUAAAUUCCACUUCUGGAACGUACCUGUCAGCAGGCUGAUGCAGGAAAGUAUGAACUAAUAGUGCUCUAAAAAUGUGCUCGGUUCUCUCCGGGAUAAAAUAAUAUAUACUGUGCUAAAAGGUUAAUGUUGUUUUGAUGACUGUAAAUUACAUAUUCUGAGUAGGGUGUUCUAAACACAGGAUGUAGCCAAGACAGGUGUUUGUUUCUGAGUUGUAGAUCUCACCUGCAACCACAUGGAACAUCCUGAUUAACCACAAAGAGCAAAUUGUUACUGCUGAGCUGGGUAAAAACUCCUCCAUUUCCUUCAUUUUAAAGAUUUCCUUAACCUGUGAGUGUGAGCCAGAUGGAAAUAAGAAACAGGAAGGACAUUUGGGAAAGUCAUAAUAACGAUGAAGAUCAGGGAAAAUUUAUGAAAUAUAUAUAAUUUGAAUUUUAUAACCUAUAAAUCCUUAAUGAUAAUAUUGUUCUAUGCUUCUCAAUUUAAUAAUCUCCUAUAAAUUUUACAGUUCAUUACAAUAGAAACUAAUUAUUCUGUUCCCACAUUUGUCUUCAAGCAGAAGAUGUGGGGAAAUGAAAGCAGGCAGACACUUUAGAGGCAUAAAUUUAGAAUAUUUAAGAUUUAACAAGAAACUUCCAGCCUAUUGGAAAUGGGCAUUAUUUUAAUUCCAGUAUGUUUCUUGCUGUUUCUGUUAUCAUAAGUUUUAAAAUCAAGAAAUAGGACUUUAAAAGCAAUUUCCAAAAAUCUCUAUUAAGGAAGUAAUAAUAGUAAUAAUUUUCUUGCUUACUGGCUAAUGAUAAUAAAUGGAGAUAUCAAAGAAUUCUUUGGGAAGAGAGAAAAAGGGUGAUUAGAGUUAAUAGGGAGAAAUUGGUAGGGAAACUGGAAAUACAUUUCUCCGGAGAACCAGGUUCAUAAAUAGCAAUGGCAGGCAAAUAUUAGGGAACUGGUUCACAACCAUUCAUUUGCAAACUGUAUUACAAAGUUUUGACUUGUGAUGAGACAUCAGAUUCUUCAAUCCUGUGGUAUUUCCAGGUCAUGGAUGAUGGUAGCUCUUGCAACAGAAAAUGAAUAAGGAAAUCACCUGGAAAUGUCACUGUGGUGUCCAGCAGGAAAUAGCAGAAUGAGAGAAGCCAUUGGAGAGAAAAAGGGUAUUGAGGCUCCUGCAGUUCCAAUCCAGCUGUUCAGUAUCUCCCACUCUGUAAAAUGCACACAUUAAAAGAAUAUGAGUGGGGGAAUUCAUCAGCCUCAGACCAGCCCUGUUACUGCAGGAACCAUGGAGGGCUGUUUGUCUGCCAGGCUGAGAGCAGUCCAUGCUCUGUCAGUGCCUCUGCUGGUUGAAGCUUGGAGAGCUCAGUGCUGGUGAUGGUUGUUCCUACAAACACAUCUUACAGGAAAGCUUCUCCUUCCUCCUGGACCCUGAAGUUUUGGAUUUAGUAAGAAGAUAACUGUCCCAAGACAAACAUUCUCAUGGAUACAGCAGAGUAUUUUAAAUGGUAUAUUGCUACAGUAAGGAACGAAAGGACAACUUCAGUUUGACUCUGGUGGUCAUGUCUCCAUUCUGAAGAAAACAACCCUUGUGUAUUUUAGGCUGGAAUUCAGCACACAGAAGACCACAGCUGUGAGCAGUCCAGCAGGUUGGAGCUGGCUCUGCUGAGAGAUUAAUGCAAAUAAAUGCACUGGUUCUCCCUGGUCAAGCUUUUUACAGUUCAUCUGUUUGCACUGAAUACAAUGGUUAAAAAAAUAGACAGCUUUCUGGAUUCCUCUCCCUUCUUUCUUGUGAAAUGGAAGACACUAUCACAAGACAACCUCUAAUGGAGUCUCUUCUGAAUCCUGCCAUCAAAAGGACACUGAUUUCUGACUUCCAAAGCUCCCUCUUGGAGACUUUCUUGUAUUAAAUAAUAUUUUGAGGAAAACUAGCUUUUGAAUGUCACAGUGUUGCUUAUUAGUGGUUGGUAGGUGUCAAUGUGCUAAUAGAUACCUAGACUUCAAAAAAAAAUCAAUAAAUCUCAGCAGCAAAGAGAAAGUUUUGCUGUUUGCAUUAUUCUGGCUGCAGCACAGUGGAUCUGAGGAACCCAGGGGUGGGAGAGAGAAAUGAUGCUUUCAAUAAGGAAUACUAGUGGGAGAAAAGGGAGGGACAGGAAUAGUGUCUGCAAAGAAAAUAUAACAAGAAGAGAGCUUUUAGCUCAGCCAGGAUCACACAGAACAUGGAAAGGAUGCAAAGGCAGACCACAGAACUGAUGAAAGCAAAAAUUCUUUCAGUUCUUCUUAGUGAACUGUAAAAGAUGUAUUGGAACCAGAAAGCCAUUGAAAAGUCAUUUCAUUGACAUCCCAAAGGAGAAGACCCAUCUUGAACAGCUGCAAAGUAGAUUACACCAACACAGGAAAAGAGUUUUAGUAAUUUAUAUACAUUAUCCUACACCCAGAUUAUAAGCAUUUGAAUGUGCUGACCACAAAGCAAACCCAUCAAAUAUUUAAAGGAAGAUGCCAGCAAGAAAUGAGGUUUAUAGCGGACCUUGAGUGUGAAUAAGUUUCCUGGUCAUCCCAAAGGUGUUGAUACAAAGGCUGUUUUCCAGUUGUGGCUUGUCCCGUUACACUCAAUUUUAACAACCUGACAUGUACCCAAGACCCCUCUUGUCUUCAGGCACACCAGAAAGAAGGACUUUCUUCAACCUGAAUUCCUCAAUCAUGCAGAUUGAUGUCUUACUUGCACACGAGGUGUCACUACUGAUUUGCACGUGCUCCCCUGAGAUGCAGGUGGUGCUCAUGGUGCUGCUCCUGGGUCCUCCCCUACCCUGGAACAACUGGAGUGCUUAGGGGCACCCAGCUUGUGUGUUGUCACAGAUAUUAAUGAACACACCUUGACUUCCUGCUGAUUUCUUCAUUUCUGCAUAUUCAGUUUCACAAACACAACAAGGUAAGAUUUUUAAUCUCUCACCUCAAGUGACCUCUUGGGCAGUUCAGAGUGAAUGUGGUGCUCAUGAAGUGUAACAGGCUGGGUUGUGGAACGAUGGAUGCUGCUGAGACUGUGCCACUCCAGUUCCUAAGAGUGGAAUAAUCUAUGGUGAGAUAAAUCAAGUGGAAAAAUAACCUUCAACAAUGACUCACUUAGAACAUUUCAGAAAAACACUUAAAAUUUUACAGUGCUGGAUAAGUAGAGAAUCAAUAUGAUCCUUACCUAAUCUGUACAGCACUCUUGUGUGUGCAAGCAUGUGUAGUAUUUUGAACACCACAAAGUCCUAGUGUAAAUUUACAAGGCACUCACUUUUGUUCUUGUUGUCUAUUGCAAUUAUUUCUUUCAUUUGAAAAACAAACAGAUAAUUUUGGGGUUGGUUCCCCAGACUGAUAUUGUGUUUUUAGGCCUCUAACAGAGGAUAAAAGCAGAAAAUGAGCUUCAGAAUUUGCAGAGGUUGUUUGGAAAAGACUAAGAUGCAGCUCAGAGGGAAGAGUUAAAAGGAUUCUUUGUGGGUAGUGCCACAGGUGAAAUAACCUUUGACCUGGGGAAUUUUUAGUGAAUUUAAUUUUUUGGCAGUUAAUACCAGCUUCUUGGCAGUAAUCUGGAUAUUAGAGGGAAAAAAAAAUCCUAAACGUUUAAAUAAGCAACUUUCUUCCUCCUUUCUCAGGCUCAGUUUAACCCAACCACCCAUCCUCUCUCUUCCUAAACCCAUCCUUCUGUCCCACCUGAUGUGGGCUGCCCAUGGUCUUGGCUUCUCAGCAGCUCCCUGUUUCAGCUUAAUCCUAAAUUCCACCAAUUCCAGUUGUGCAGCAAACUUUAAACUGCUGGAGAAACUAGAUAGGUGAGGGCAGAGCUGGCAAGAGGCUCAGCCAUCCUGCCUGACAAAGUUUUAAUUGUUCAGUCUAAGCAAGGAGCAGGGGAGCGUGAUGGAACUCCAAGUGUCUCCAAAUUGCUUCAAAGAGAAAGGGAAUAAUUUGUUUUCCUUUGCUGCUGGGGACAGGAUAAAGAAUAAUGGAAUUAAAUGGCAGCAACGCAGAUUUAGGCCUGCCAUCAGGAAAAAAAUCCCAGUUGUAAAAAUAGUUGUGCUGUAGAAUAUAUUGAUUGGUGCAAUCCUAGAGUCUCUGUCACUGCUGCUCUUAAAAGCAGACUAAACAAGCAUUUUCCAGGGAUAAUUUAAGCAGAGGAGGUCCUGUGAUGCCUUCUGAAGAUGAAUUAAUUCAGUUCUCCAGGUCCACCUUUCUGUUCUGUGUGGAAGCUGAUUCCAAUCAUGAAAUAGAUGGGAUUUUGCUUUUAACUCAGUUGCUUUAGGACAACAGUCAAGUGAUAUCUCCCUCCUGUCCACUACAAGGAUGAAGACAGAACAGAGACAGGUUAAUCUUUUUUUAUUUCCAGGAGUUGUUCUCUGUCUAAGAAAGGUUUUUCAUUGCAGAAAGAGAUGUUGCUUUUGCUAUCUAGUUCCUGGCUGCAGACUACAAAUUACAGCACUUUAUUAUCUUUGUAUGUUUUUCCUUCUGUUUUAAUCACAAGUGAAAUAAAUUUGUUGAAGAUGCUGAACUACAAGGUUGACACUCUGUGCCUGUGCAUGCACAUAAAUGCUCUGAUAACCCAAGGAGAAUAAACCCUCACACUUAAUGUACUGAGUUCAUCAGAAUAAAUGGCUAAUGCAUUAAAAAGGAAACUUUACAAUACGUUAAAAAUGAAACUUUACAAUCUGGAGUUACUUAAUUUAUAAAAUAUAAUGUCAUAAGGUGGAUUUUUUUUUUUUAAUUAUUUGAUGCUAGCUCAAGGUAGCAAUCAUGCAUUCUCUAACAUAUGCCAGUGCAGCAUGUAAAAAGAAUGCCCCUUUAAAAAUAGCAGACCAUACUGAGCCUUCAAAAUGUCACUACUUUUUACCACUAUCACUUGCUUAUGGCAAUCUUUUGACAAAUUUAUUGGAACAGAUAGUUCAUUCAGACAAUGUUUUAAGAGAGAAAUUGCAUGUAAUUUUUGUUAAUUAAGGAGGAGCCUCUCCUAAGGAGAAAUCAUGGCAGAUUGAGUAACUUUUAGUUUAGAACAUGAUUAUUCCAUUUGUACUCUUGGAUGAUGCCCUCUUCUGGCACAGGCAUUUUGCAUCACUGUCACUGUCUCAAAGGUGUUGCUGUCUGCAUCAGCUUGUCUGAAUUCAACUUGAUUUUUACCUUGAUUACUCAGUCACCACAUAUUUGAUAUUUCAACCCAGAAAACAUUGAGGGUUGAAAGUAUGGCAUCAUUUUUCCAAAUGUUUUCAGGCAGUAGAGUUAAUAGAACUAAGGGUAUUUUUUGAGGACAGAACUAGUCUUAAAUGGUUGGAAUAGAAAAAAAUUCAUCUUCUGAAAAUGUUCACUCUUAUUGGUGUUUGGGCUUAUCUGUGAUUUCUGGACUUUAUUGGUGGCAUAAAUAGAAAAAAAUUAUUUAACAUAAUGCUCUCUGCUAUUUGAUUUCAUUUCUUAUGAAUAUUUGGGCAUUUUCACAAAAAUACUCUCUCUUAAUAUCUAGCUGAACUCAGCUAUAUGCCAUGCCAGUAAUAUCAGUUGUCUGGGCUUGCUGAUUAGAAUUUUGCAUCACUCAUUAAAAUUUGUACUGGAAUUUGUGUUUGGAUGUAAUAGAUUUGCUUGUAGCAGGACAGGAUAUAGGAAUUACACCAGGAAACAGCUGGGAAGCAUCACAAAUGACAAGUGGUACUAUAUGAAUUUUCUAAAAAAUAUUAUUAAAAUCUUCUUAGACUUGCUUUAUCUACAAUGUUUUCUUUUAAGGCCACCUGAUGAUUAAAAAUGAUGACAAAUUUUAUUUUCAGUGCUGUGCAUGAAAACAUUUUUUUAUCCACUGUAGAUUUCAGUUAUUGCAUCUAUACGCAAAUAAACCCCCAUUUUUUUAGCUACACAAGCCUGCCAGUUUCAAACAAGAAAAUCCUCAUCUCCACCUCCACAUGAUUAUAUUAAGUAGAGGAUUAUGUAUAUAAUGCAUGCACAAAAUUGUUCUCGUUUUACUUUCAUGCUCUCUGUGCCAAAUUCAAUUUGGGUUUAUUAACUACAGUCUGAUUUGAUAGUGGUCUCCGGACCAGGAAAAUAUUUUUGGUGAAAUUUUAACAGUUACAUCACAUUAUGUAACAAAUGUCUUGUGUCAUGUACUAUUAUUUCAAUUUCAGGAUGUUUGACAUGAUGUAAUGUGAUCUGAGAUAUAGUGAGUGAUGUAGCAUAAUGCUUGGUGCAGUGUGCCAGAAACAUGUUUAAUGUUCCUGAAUGUUCUUUAUCUCUAUGUCCACAUUACUGAUCUGGAGGGGUGAGCAGCUAAAAGUGCAGGUAUGGAAAACACAGCCAAAAUAUCAUGGGGAAAGUCCUGUGCAGGAAUCUCUGUAAUGAGUUGCUUCAUUACCUUUGGAUCAGACCUUCAAUCUUUGCAUUUCUCUGGCAUGAGACCUACCUGAGAGCAGGCAGCUGCUUUACCAGGAAAGCUGAAUGUGUUCCCUGCAAGGAUUGCUUGAGAUACACCAAACAUUGAAUUUAUGCUGUCUCCUGUUGAUACUCAGCCCUUCCUUAAAAUUCAGAGCAAGCUCUGUCAUGCUGUUCAUUUUAUGUGCAAAUGUUUCUUGCUAGGUGAAAACUGGAAUUUCACAUCCCGAACUCUGACUGCCAGGAAGUAUUAGGUCAAUGCAUCUGCUCACUGUCAAAAUCUCAAAAGCAGUCAAGGCCUAAGUUUAAAAUCUCAGUUUGUUGUGUUCCACUCACUCCUCCAAGUGUCUUUAAGCAAAUGAUUUUACAAACAUUAUCUUUCCCCAGUUGCUUUGUCAGCCAUGUAACAUCCCAGGUUCUUAAUGUCUUUUCCAGAGACUUUAAUUCUUUCAGACUGCCUGUUUACUGAUGGCCGUUCUCUUCUUACCUACUUGUUUUCAGAGGAGAAAUUAAAAUGUUAAACAAUAUCUAUUUGCAAAAUCUUCCCUUAAUAGCUGGGUUCACUGGUGACAGCCAGGAAGCUGUCACUCUUUCUUCUUGUCUUAGAAUGCAGAUCUAGGGAGAGUAACCAGGGGAACAAGGAAUUUUCUGUACUUGUAAGCUCCACAAAUGCAUGCUGGAGGCAUUGCAGGCUCCCUGUUAUCAGUAUAUCACUUGAGCUCUGUGCAAACAGAAUAUAAAAAUAAUGCAUUUAAAAAGGAAAAAGAAGGCAGGGUAUGCAUUAUGUAAAUGCACUAAAGAGCCCUCAGAAUGAUUUGCAUGAAGUAAUGUGGAAACUGAGAGUCUAAUAGUUAUGGAGACCUUUCCCUGGCUUUUUUGGUGGUUGUUUGUGCUUAGUAAAGCAAUGCACAUAUCAAAUAGAUGUGAAACUGCUUGCAGUGGUCAGAAAUUUCCUGCUGUGUGCAAAGGUUCAGUUCACAGCUGUGUGGGGUAGGCACAAAGCUGGUGUUGAAAAGUGAAGAAAACUUGUGAUUUAUGUAACAUGCUUUGAAAAUAGGCAAAGUCAUGCUAGGCAGUGCUGGGGUUGUGAAGAGAUUAUGCUUGAGCAUUAUUGCACAGGAAAAGAGAGUGAAGCCAGUGCUUUGUGAUUCUUGGUUGUCAAUCCAUACUUAGUCCAAAAAGAAAGAAAGAAAGAAAGCCUUUGGAUUUCUGCUUUCAGUUAUAUAAUAGCUUGGGAAGGCUUUUUUGUAUGUAUUUCUGUAUCUUCUUCGUGGGUCUCCCUGAGUUAUUGAAGUCAGGCAAGUUUACAUUUACCUCGUCUUUUA